CCUACGGGAGGCUGCAGUAGGGAAUCUUCGUCAAUGGGCGCAAGCCUGAACGAGCAAUGCCGCGUGAACGAGGAAGGUCUUCGGAUCGUAAAGUUCUGUUGAAGGGGAAGAAGAGCGGAGAGAGGAAAUGGUCUCCGAUUGAUAUUACCCUUCGAGGAAGUCACGGCUGACUACGUGCCAGCAGCCGCGGUAAUACGUAGGGGGCAAGCGGUAUCCGGUUUUACUGGGUGUAAAGGGGGCGCAGACGGCGAUGCAAGCCAGGAGUGAAAGCCCGGGGCCCAACCCCGGGACUGCUCUUGGAACUGCGUGGCUGGAGUGCAGGAGGGGCAAGCGGAAUGCCUGGUGUAGCGGUGAAAUGCGUAGAUAUCAGGAGGAACACCGGUGGCGAAGGCGGCCUGCUGGACUGCAACUGACGUUGAGGCACGAAAGCGUGGGGAGCGAACAGGAUUAGAUACCCGAGUAGUC
rnacentral:rRNA from 1 species